CUAGACACAACUAGACUCUAGAUUCUACUAGAAUUCUAGCUAGAUCUAGAUCUACUAGAUCUAGUAACUGUAAAUACUGUAAUGAGUGUAAUGACGUAAUGUAUCACUCACACUGUAUCUAGGUCAGUUUAUCGAAAUAAUUAAUAUUAGAUUUAGAUCUAAUUUAACUAAUUAGUUUUUUCCUGUGAAUUUAGUCAUAAAAUUGAUUUUUUAAAAUAACUGAUACAAAGACGUUCAAAGUUAUAAGUUAUAGAUCUAUACUAUAAUUCUAUAUCCCUUCUCGUACGACUUAGCCUGUCUUAGGGAUAGAUAGUUUCUGACAACUGUUUAGUGGUGAAAGUGUUAAUAAUAAAUAGACUAGAAUCACUAGAUUGUCACUAGAUCGGUAAUAUACCAUUUGGCGGGCGAGGUCGCCAUUACUAUGUUAGCGUCCUUAGCUGAUAAAAACAUUGAUGAAAAUAUUAGGCAUCAUUCCUUGGAAAUGAUAAUCAAGUUCUUCAUUGUUAUGUUUUGAACUUGUUUCUCAAAAUAAAUGGCAUUUACAUAAAACACAUUAUAAGAAGCUUGUGGAUCUUCUGGAGUUGGUGACUUAUUGCAUGUUAUUGUUUAAAGAACCAUGGCCAGCCUUCUGACCUAGGCGGAAAAGAAAGACAUUCUGAACAGCACAACAAUGAAUCAUGUUAUGAUAACCUGAAUGUCAAACAGGAAAAGCACAGUGUGCGCAAUGUUAUAAAAACAAAACAUUUUGUUAUGAAUAAUAUGUUGUACCUUAUUUGUGAAAUCACACUCAGCAGCAGAAAAGUGAAGACUGUGUGUGGAAGUUUGCCAGAGGCAAGCUUUGGAUUUCUUUCAUAGAGCAAGGGACAACACUCUCAAUACCUUUUGAUAUCAUUCCAACACCUAUAGCUGUGGUGAGACUAUUUCGAGGUCUCAGGAAUGUAUUUCUUAUCAAUUGGUAAUCAUGCAUCACAUGCCCUCAGAUAUGUACACAAAAUGAAGUUUGAGGAGAAAGAGAAAGGAUCAAGAUGAUUUACAAGACACUAAAGUUAUCUAUCAACUAUACUCAAUGUAUGAAUGACUUGCAGCCAGACUAGAAUUAUAGAGAAAGAUGUUUUUCUGCUGGCUAAACAUGUAUGGAUUGUUUUGAGUUUUGCAAGUGCUGCUGUUGUCUAGGCAAUUCUGGCCAGUAGUUCCGGUUUUGGUUUCUUCAUCUGAGACAAAAACUCCAAGGGUCUGUUCCAUCACAUCCAGUCAAUAAAGGAAUAAUAUCUAUGAUGUCAGACAACAAUAAAGAUCCAUUUCUGUAGAAGAAGAUCUCACUACCAUGAACACUCUAGGGCUAGGGAGACAUGAACUACAUGAAGACAAUUUUGGGAUGGAGGAAACCACACAGAGACUUCAAUGGGGAACAAAAGUCAAAUGGAGUGUGUUCAAAGUUAGCAUUCAAUUCUUGUCACUCAAUUCUCCAUGAUAUGUUUACAGGGAGACUAAACAUUUUUGGACAUGAUGCCAGUAAAAUGAGAAAAUAGAGUGGAAGAGAGUCCAUAGUUUGUUUUGCUCCCGAUUCAAUAGAGAACAAAGUUAAGAUUAGCGAUGGAGAUAAAAGGAAUCUCUAAAACAAUAAUUCUUAUCAAAAUCCAACAAUCUCUAUUCAAACUAUUAAUCUAAGCAGUAACAUGACAACUAUUUGAACCAAAGAGUGAAGCUCACGUGAGGACAGUUUUCAACACUAGAGUUACAGUACUAGUCCUCGGUGGAAUCAAGGAGUCAUUAAAGAAUCAUUCUGGAAGAUCAAAUUAAUACAAGCACUGAACAGCAGAUAAUGAUGCAGAGUAUUUCCUGGUGAUCAAGAAUUAGGAGCUGCACACAGUUUAAUGAAACCAUAUUUUAGGAACAGAUAGAAAACAAAGAACUGCAGCAAAGAUGGCCUGUUUUUAUUCUUCUUCAUG